GGCUCCGAGGCGGGGCUGUCGUUCUUCACCUGGACAAAUACAAAAAAUAGAAGAAAACGUAUUUUGUAGUCGGCCUAUUUACCCCCCAAAUCACAUAUGCACAUCUACUUGCAAAUAUAAGAUAAUGUCGGUGUUGGAUAUAUUUGCUAGUAUUUAUUAAUAAAUCACAUCGAGUUUUUUUAUUGAUGUAGAAACACAUAUUUACAACUCAACCUUGUUACAAAUCGCAUGGCUUGGCAAACCACAUUUGUUGCAAUAAUGAAAAAAAUGGCAAAAGCAAAGGAACUGAAAAUAUCCGGGGAAUUUCGGAACGUGAAACCAACGAGCCACCGAAUACGCGAAAGUGGUGAUUGUGCAAGUCGAUUGGCUGUUGCCGUUUCGGAAGUCACGCCCACACUGCAGAGCAAAGCGCCGCCUCUUCCUCUGCGCGGAUCCCAUCUACGUGCCGUUUGCGUUGCACCGUCAUUCUCUGGGCUCCUGCUACGAGGACUAACUGGCUGCGCUUUUCAGGCCGUGUUCAUGUCGUAGACUGAGAUACACAAAAUGGCGGCUAAGGAAGUGUCUUCUUGACGAGGGAGAGAAACUUUGGAUAAAAUGGAAGGCCGACGCCGUGAAAGCAACGGCUAGAAACUUCAGGCCUCAUGGCCGGGACCGGAAAACGCGGGGCAAAGGAGUGUACUGGCAGCGUUUUGUGGGCUGCUGCCGUAAGGACCGAAGUUUUGAGCGGCCCCAGGAGUUUCGGGUGGGCCUUGGAGUAGUACCGGCUGGGAGUAUGGCCCCCGAAAACACAACGCAGUAUUUGAUGGACAAAGUCUUCAGUGAUCUCCUGACCGAUUGCCGCAACGAGGCCUUUCCCGGCGCAAACCUCCACGAUGCCAUUGACUUGUCGGUGCGUGACGAUUCUUUGCAUUUGUACGGAGAAACGCACUCGCCGCGGACCGUUUACGCUUCGCUGGAUUGGACCGACGAAAGUACCAUGUCGUUCCAGCAGAGGGACUUUGAGGACAUGCUUCAACGCUACAGUGAAUGAAUUCAACGCUAAAAUGCAGCGUUGAAUGGACCAUGCCCUUUUGAUUCAAUUACUCCCAACGGACUUCAAUGUGUGGGGAGAGUGUUGAAUUUCUUGUAAAUGUUUUGUACAAUCGAAUGUAAAUAUGUUGAGUUUCUAAAGGAAUUUAUUUUAUUGGUCUCUGGCCAUCUCCGGUUUGAUAAAAUCAGCACUGUGUACCCCCCGAGUUGUGUGUUUGAAGUGGACGCGUUUUGAAUUUCAUUGUCGGAUUUUCCCUGUCCCACAGCGAUGCAACUGGUGCAGACAGUCGCUAGAGGGCGCUCCUGCCAGCCUUGCAUCCGCAGACUCGGGUGUCCCUCUUGUCGUCGGAGUCUGAGAACUCAGCUCUGCCCUCUUGAGGCCGUCAGGUAAACUGGGUGCACCGCGACGUCUGCAUAAACGGGACCACUUGUCAAAUUGCAUUAUUAAAUAACAUGUUGAAUCUAAACGGUUUAAGGGUAUUUCUUUUAAGUGGGCAAUGUGUAAAUCAUUUUAGACAGAAUCCAGAAAGUGAACAUGUCCAGAAAUGCUCAAACGUGUCAUUAAAGUUUUUAGCAAAUUGUUUCAAACCAGUGACUCAUUCUGCUCUGCAUGCUAAAUGUUUGAGAUUAGUUCUCUCUUCCAGAUCUCUAGAGCACAGUUGUCCAGUGGUUUCAGAAUUAACGUGUGCGAGCAUUUUGCAGGUUUCCUGGUGAUUUGGCGUAGUUUCAAUGUCGUGCCCGUUUAAAUGUCAGCGCGCGUCGCAGCUCACUCCCGGUAACCGUCUCCGCAGGACGCGGUCACGUGAGGAUCUGUAAACGGAAUCGUGGUGUUGAGGACAGUGCCGAUGGUAAGGUACCGUUGUGUUCAGCAGUGUGUAUGCAAGAAGACAUGAAUCAAAUAAACUUGAUGAAAGAAA